CGCAGCCCCCGUGUCCUGGAAGCCCCAGGAUUCUUCGGAACAGCCACAGGAGAAGCUCUGCAAGAAUCCAUGUGCGAUGUUUGCUGCCGGAGAGAUCAAAACGCCAACAGGGGAGGGCCUUCUUGACUCACCCAGCAAAACCAUGUCUAUUAAAGAAAGAUUGGCACUGUUGAAGAAAAGCGGGGAGGAAGAUUGGAGAAACAGACUCAGCAGGAGGCAGGAGGGCGGCAAGGCGCCGGCCAGCAGCCUGCACACCCAGGAAGCGGGGCGGUCCCUCAUCAAGAAGGAAGAAGGAGGAGUUGCGGAUGAUAGUGCCAUUUCUAAUCUGCUUUGGGUAAGCCUGACUCUAACACAGGUGUCCUCUCGAUGGUGGCCAGAAUUACACUUCGCGUGGGUAGCUCUGAUCCUGGGUGGUUCCUUCGUGCACCCUCCCUGGUGCUUUUCUUAUCUCCAGAUCAGACACAGCCUUUGUCCGGAGUGGAGAGCUGAGCCCGUGCCCUUAAACUAUUUUUUUAAUCAUGUAAUGAAGAUACUUUAAAGAAGAUGAUAUUUUCUGUUAAAUGUUAAAACUGUCAAUGAAAUUAAUGGUUUCCCUCUCUGUAACUGACAAUCUUCUAUAAAUUAACUCAUUUAAUUACUGCACAAA
rnacentral:sRNA from 1 species